CGAAAACAUGGCGCGGGGCAGCGGCUCCAAACCGAAAACAUGGCGCGGGGCAGCGGCUCCAAACCGAAAACAUGGCGCGGGGCUGGCACGCUCCAAACCGAAAACAUGGCGCGGGGCUGGCACGCUCCAAACCGAAAACAUGGCGCGGGGCUGGCACGCUUACCCGGGAACUGCAGGACCUCAGCGGCUCGACCGUGCUCCCGCAAGGCCUCCUGUAACUUCCUGCACUGGGUGCUUUUCCCGGAUCGGUCUAUCCCCUCCAGCACGAUGAGAGCGCCCCGCCGAGCAGCCAUGUUUCAAGAGGCGGGCGGACUUUGCCGCUCUUGAUCCGGGAUGGCGGAUUUUGAAAUCCGACCGUUGCUGAGCGAUGACGCGGUGCCGCAGAUGCAGAGGCCACUGGAAACCAGGCCAGGCCUGCAUCCACGGAGAGAGGGGCCCAACCAUCGUUUCCCGUUUGGAUUGAAAUGAAGCGUGCAGGACAAAGCAUUUUAUGCUACGGUCAUUAGUGAACCAGAUGGGCUUUCCCAACAAUCAACAAUGGAUUUGUGGUCAUUUUGGUAUGCUGCAUUUCACCAGUGAGGCCUUGACAGUAUCACUGAAGUGCUUCCUCCAUCCACCUUGGGCUCAUCUGCUGUUUCAAAGCUGAGAGUAGAGCACCUGCUUGGAGAAUCUUAUGUCGGUCUUUUGGACCACAUGCAUUUCUCCUGGAGCUGUCACAUGAUGAAAUGACCAUUGUGCACCCAACUUUUGUGGCUAAAAGCCACGUGGCAAUUCCAGGAGGAGCUCCUCAGGGACAGGGAGGAAAUGGUUAAGAAGGACCUUGAGGAUGACUUUUCCAACAGUCACUAGGAGAGAGAUUCCCCUGUAGUUACCACAAUCUGCCUUGGUUCGUUUUUUGAAAAUGCUCACAACUGUGGCAUCUUGGUGCUUUCCCAAGAUGCUCUCUUCUUUCCCCACGAUGACGGCAUAGCUGAAACAUAGCCUCAGUACUCAACACUAACAAUUGUCAAUUUCCAGAUGCCAUCCUACAAUUAGUCUGUUUCAUCCUUGGCGACAACAUUUUCAUCUUUGACAAUUAGCUCUGCAUCCAGACACACAGAACAGCCACGGGGACAAAGUUUGCACCCUAAUACGCCAAAAGUUUCAUGCAAACAUUCGAGUAAGACUUCUUUGCUGCGCAAGACAUUCAAACAACUCUAUAUACAUGAUGCAUCAACAACAUUUUCUUCCUUGGGACUCACGGCAAGGAAUCACUGAAAUGACUACACAAUGAUAUCAACAAGUUUCAUCCCACCAUCAGACUUUUAUAGACUACUCUUCAGAAUCAGUCUUAUUCUUGGACACAUGCAUCUUCAUCAAGGACAGACACCUCUGUACCACAAUCUACUACAAGUCCACAGAUAACCUCAUGAUGCUGCACUUCUCUGGCUUCCACCCUAAACAUGUUAAAUAAACCAUUCCCUAUGGACAAGCCCUGCAUGUAUACAGGAUCUGCUCAGUCAAGGAAGAAUGCAAUGGAUGCUGAAAGAUGCCCUCAUAAAGUGAUACAAUGCACAAUUCAUCAAUUGAGGGAGGCAAAGAACUUCUUCAAAGUGGGAUGCUCAACACAUCAAUUGCCAGUUCCAACUUGCCACAGCAAAAACUGCGAUGACCUCCUCCGAGGACAGACACAGGACACAACUGAUAGAGUGGCCUUCGUCGUCCAGUUCCUGGAAUGGAGGAACUAUACCAUGUUCUCCUUCAGUAUGUCAUUGAUGUCAAUGAACAUCUAGCCAAGAUGAUCCCUACGCAUCCAAUUCUCACCUUCAAACAGCUGCCAAACCUUAAGCAGACCAUCAUUUGCAGCAAACUACCUAGCCUUCAGGACAACAUCGACCACAAUGCCACACAACCCUGCCAUGGCAAUCUCUUUAAGACAUACCAGUUCAUCGACAUGCAUACUAACAUCACAUGUGGGCACAUGACCCACAAUGUAAACGGCAGAUGCUCAUGUAACUCAGCCGAUGUUGUUUAUCUCAUAUACCACAGGCAAAGAUGCUCUGAGACAUGAUAUAUUAGUGAGACUGUGCAGAUUCUACAACAACAAUUGAAUAGACACCACACAAAACUCUAGACAGGAAUGUUCUUUCUCAGACAGGGAACACUUCAGUGGUCAAGGACAUUCAGCCUCCAAUCGUCAGGUAAGCAUCCUCCAAGAAGGCCUCAAGAUACACAACAGCAUAUAAUCGUCGAGCAGAAACUGAUAGUCACGUUCCAUACCCAUAAAAAUGGCCUCAACCGUGAUCAUGUUGUGCUUCAUGUAACCCCACCAUACUGUUCUGUAUCUGUAAAAUCUUCUCUACUGACUUGUUUUGACACCAAAACCUUGGUAAUCUGUUAUAAUCUUCGAGUAAAAAAUGAGGUCUGCAGAUGCUGGAGAUCACAGCUGAAAAUGUGUUGCUGGUCAAAGCACAGCAGGCCAGGCAGCAUCUCCGGAAUAGAGUGUUGCUGGUCAAAGCACAGCAGGCUGUUGCUGGUCAAAGCACAGCAGGCUUCCAACCAACUCUCUACCUUAAUUAGUUUGUACAGUUUUGGAUUACUUGCUACUUUGGUUAGACCCUUAGCAUGUGACUCCUAUAUCUAACAUGUUAUUCCAGCCAUUUGGUUUAUCUUCAGCACUACCUUGGUUUAAUUUUUGUAGUUAUCUCUCUGCCUCAAUUAGGAUUGUAGGUCAUCCUUUCACUUGCCAUUCAGCUGUUGACACUUUACUCAUAACACCUGACACGUUUGAUCACCUGCAGAAACUUAUUAUUUGGUAUGUCCACUCACACCAUUUGUAUGACCUUUUGAUUUCUCUGCUGUAAAUUCUGUGCCUUCACUUCUUCCUAGUGAAGGGACAGUGGUCUGAAAGCUUGUGAUUUCAAAUAAACCUGUUGGACUAUAA